CGAAUUUCUACUGUAAUUAACAUGGCUCUUUGUAGUUCUGUACUAAAUUUGAUGUUGCAUAAAUGUUGGAAGGUAAUUGACUUAACUUCACCUAUCUGAGAAAGAUGCAUGUAAAAUCUCCAAACUAUUUCAGACAUCUUCAUGAAAUGGUCUUAUUGCAUCAGAACAGAAGGAAUAAUAUUAAAUGGUUGGGGUGGGCUGGGGGUAAAUGAACCUAGAGAGGAAGGGAUAGAGAGCAUAUACUAUACCUCAUCUUAUUUAAUCUUUCCUCUGAAUCUGGUAUUAUAGCCACCAUUUUAAGGAUGAAGAAACUGACAUUCAGACAGGUUAUAUAGCUUGCUCGAGUUUAUAAGGCAAGCAAGGGGCAGAAGCAAGAUUUGAACCACAGUUUUUUGACUCAAAGCCCAGGUUCUUUCUAUCACCUCUAUAAACAGCUUCCUCAAUAGGGUGUCAUAAUAUAGACCUUUAAGGAAAUAUGCAUCAAUUAUAUAAUUAAAACUGAAAUAAUUUGGAAAGAAAAUACAAGGUAUUUCUUUCCAUCUAUAUUAAGCCCAAGGGAAUAUUGAGAGAGUGUAAAAAGUCAAAGAAAGCUUUAUGUAUAGAUGGGAGCUUGAUCUAGAAUUUAUAAAGUUAGAGGAGGGAAAGGAAAUAGGAAGAAUAAGUGAGGAAGGGAAAUGUUGGUAUAUGUGGAGAUGAUAGAAUGGAAGAUAGAAUCUAAGGUGAAGAACAGAGUUUGAAGUUGGUGUAUCAGUCAGUUUUGCUACAAUGUUGCUGUGUACCAAACAAGCCCUAGAUCUUAGCGGCUUAUACCAAUAAACAUGUAUUUCUUGCUCAUGAGUCUGCAGUUUAGGAAUGUUUCUCCUGGAUUUUGGCUAAGCUUUCCUGGGUUUAGCUGGAUUUGGCUCUAGACUACAGUCCACGUUUUCUCAUUCUAGGGCCCAGUCCACAGGAUCUAUGCCUACCUGGGGCAUACUUACUAAUGGAAGAUGUCAGAAACUCAAGAGGGCUGGCAGAAUCUUGCCAUGUCUUUUAAGACCUUCACUCUGAACUAACACCUUGACACCUUCAUUCACUACAUUUGGCAAAACCAAGUAAUAUAUCCAGGUCCAAUUUCAGUGCGGUAGGGAAAUACACUCUAUCCAGAGGGAAGUCAUGGAGAGGAAACUGAAGUACCAAGAUCCUAAUUGACUUGUCCAGGGCACAUGGAUGCUAAGUGGCAGAACUAACAUUCUCACCAAGGAACUCUGACUUCAAAGCCGA
rnacentral:lncRNA from 1 species